AGAGCGUAUGGCGGAUGCCUAGGCACAGAGAGGCGAAGAAGGACGCAGCAAACAGCGAAAUGCGACGGUUAGCAGUAAGCAUGCAACGAUCCGUCGAUGUCCGAAUGGGGGAACCCAUCCGGGAUAGAGACCGGAUAUCCUGCAGUGAACAGAUAGCUGCAGAGAGGCGAGACUCAGGGAACUGAAACAUCUAAGUACCUGAAGGAAGAGAAAAUAAACGAAUGAUUCCCUAAGUAGCGGCGAGCGAAAGGGGAAGAGCCCAAACCGAUCUUAGGAUCGGGGUUGUAGGACUGUCGGCAAAGAGCAAGAAAUCAUUAUAGGCGAACGGAAUGGGAAGUCCGGCGAAACAGGGUGACAGCCCCGUAGCCGAAAUAGUGAAGAAGCACGAGACAGCACCUGAGUACGGCGGGACACGAGGAAUCCUGUCGGAAUCCACCAGGACCAUCUGGUAAGGCUAAAUACUCCUCUGUGACCGAUAGUGAACCAGUACCGUGAGGGAAAGGUGAAAAGAACCCCGGGAGGGGAGUGAAAUAGAACCUGAAACCAUAUGCUUACAAGAAGUUAGAGCCCGUUAAAGGGUGAUAGCGUGCCUUUUGUAGAAUGAACCGGCGAGUUACGAUAUGCAGCGAGGUUAAGCAGGAUAUGCGGAGCCGAAGCGAAAGCGAGUCUUAACAGGGCGCUAGUUGCAUGUCGUAGACCCGAAACCGAGUGAUCUAGCCAUGACCAGGUUGAAGUUGGGGUAAAACCCGAUGGAGGACCGAACCGACCCCCGUUGAAACGUUGGCGGAUGAGUUGUGGCUAGGGGUGAAAUUCCAAUCGAACUCGGAGAUAGCUGGUUCUCCCCGAAAUAGCUUUAGGGCUAGCGUCGAGAGAGAGUCAUGUGAAGGUAGAGCACUGAAUAUGUGAUGGCCCCAUCCCGGGGUACUGAAUAUAAUCAAACUCCGAAUGUCACAGAGACAUGCUCGGCAGUCAGACAGCGGGUGAUAAGGUCCACUGUCAAGAGGGAAACAGCCCAGACCAUCAGCUAAGGUCCCAAAAUAUAUACUAAGUGGAAAAGGAUGUGGAGAUGUCCAGACAACUAGGAGGUUGGCUCAGAAGCAGCCAUCCUUUAAAGAGUGCGUAACAGCUCACUAGUCGAAUGACUCUGCGCCGAUAAUUUACCGGGGCUAAGUAUAUUACCGAAGCUAUGGAUUUACGCGUAAGCGUGAGUGGUAGGGGAGCGUUCUAUGUGCGGAGAAGCGGUACCGUAAGGAGCCGUGGAGCGCAUAGAAGAGAGAAUGCCGGUGUGAGUAGCGAAACGUGGGUGAGAAUCCCACGCACCGAAAACCCAAGGUUUCCAGAGGAAGGUUCGUCCGCUCUGGGUAAGUCGGGACCUAAGGCGAGGCCGAGAGGCGUAGUCGAUGGACAACAGGUAGAGAUUCCUGUACUUACGGUAUGAAUGAAGGAGUGACGGAGAAGGCUAGGUGAUCCUGCGGCUGGAAGAGCAGGUGCAAGCGAGGUAGCCGACAGCCAGGCAAAUCCGGCUGUCGAAAGGCAAAGGCGUGAGGCGUAUGGAAAGCUGCGGCAAGUACAGAAGUCCGUGAAGCCAGCUUCCAAGAAAAGCUUCUAGUGAUAAUCAUACAGUAACCCGUACCGAAAAUGGACACACAUGGGUGAGGAGAGAAUCCUAAGGUGAGCGAGAGAACUAUAGCUAAGGAACUCUGCAAAAUGACUCCGUAACUUAGGGAUAAGGAGUGCUCAUAGAGAUAUGAGCCGCAGUGAAACGGCCCAAGCGACUGUUUACCAAAAACACAGCUCUAUGCUAAGUCGAAAGACGACGUAUAUGGGGUGACGCCUGCCCGGUGCUGGAAGGUUAAGAGGAUGUGUCAGCGCAAGCGAAGCAUUGAAUUGAAGCCCCAGUAAACGGCGGCCGUAACUAUAACGGUCCUAAGGUAGCGAAAUUCCUUGUCAGGUAAGUUCUGACCCGCACGAAUGGCGUAACGAUUUGGACGCUGUCUCAACAAUGGACUCGGCGAAAUUGUAGUACCGGUGAAGAUGCCGGUUACCCGCGAUAGGACGGAAAGACCCCGUAGAGCUUUACUGUAGCUUGGCAUUGGAUUUCGGCAUUGGAUGUACAGGAUAGGUGGGAGACAUGGAAGCGAGUACGCCAGUAUUCGUGGAGUCGCCCUUGGGAUACCACUCUUCUGAUGUUGAGGUUCUAACAACAGGCCGUGAUCCGGCUGUUGGACAGUACCAGGUGGGCAGUUUGACUGGGGCGGUCGCCUCCCAAAGAGUAACGGAGGCGCCCAAAGGUCUCUUCAGCAUGGUCGGAAAUCAUGCAUUAGAGUGCAAAGGCAUAAAGAGGCUUGACUGCGAGAGAGACAUUUCGAGCAGGUACGAAAGUAGGGCUUAGUGAUCCGGCGGUAUGAGAGUGGAAUUGCCGUCGCUCAACGGAUAAAAGCUACCUCGGGGAUAACAGGCUUAUCUCCCCCAAGAGUCCACAUCGACGGGGAGGUUUGGCACCUCGAUGUCGGCUCGUCGCAUCCUGGGGCUGGAGCAGGUCCCAAGGGUUUGGCUGUUCGCCAAUUAAAGCGGCACGCGAGCUGGGUUCAGAACGUCGUGAGACAGUUCGGUCCCUAUCCAUCGUGGGCGUAAGAAGUUUGAGAGGAGCUGUUCUUAGUACGAGAGGACCGGGAUGGACGCACCGCUGGUGUACCAGUUGUUCUGCCAAGGGCAUAGCUGGGUAGCUAAGUGCGGACGGGAUAAACGCUGAAGGCAUCUAAGCGUGAAGCCCCCCUCAAGAUGAGACUUCUCAUCCUUUAAGGAGUAAGACCCCUUGU
rnacentral:rRNA from 1 species